GAUGAACGCUGACAGAAUGCUUAACACAUGCAAGUCAACUGUGGCGGACGGGUGAGUAACGCGUAAAGAACUUGCCUCACAGAUAGGGACAACAUUUGGAAACGAAUGCUAAUACCUGAUACUGUGAGAGAGCUUUGCGUCCCAUUAGCUAGUUGGAGUGGUAACGGCCCACCAAGGCGAUGAUGGGUAGCCGGCCUGAGAGGGUGAUCGGCCACACGGGGACUGAGACACGGCCCUUACUACUACUGGAGGCAGCAGUGGGGAAUAUUGGACAAGGGACCAAAGUCUGAUCCAGCAAUUCUGUGUGCACGAUGAAGUUUUCGGAAUGUAAAGGGCUUUCAGUUGGGAAGCGGUACCAACAGAAGAAGUGACGGCUAAAUACGAGCCAGCAGCCGCGGUAAUUC
rnacentral:rRNA from 1 species